GUUAGCAACGGCGGCUAAUACUUAGCUUGUUGGAGUGACAAAGCAGGGGCAGUAGCAGCAGCAGAAUCGGCGGACGGCGCAGCGAAGGGAGUCCGCGGUCUCUAGCUGUCCCCGGCCCCGGUGAGGACGAGCACGACUCCCCGCUGGAAGUGGUGGUUCGAGGUCCGGAGCUCGUGAGGGGACGUGCCGACGAGCGGACCUGAAUAUUUUGCCGACGUGAAGCGACGCAGUCCGACAGGCUUGUGCUGCAGACCCUGUAGAGUGACACCUCCCCCUGUAGGACCAGAGCAGGACUUCAUCCCAGAAGCCUGAAAUAAGUUGGCUACCACGGCAUGGCAUUUUCCAAUCUCGUUUCACAAGAAGAGAAAUCAUCAUGAUUCCCGCGAAGUAACAAACAGUUUCUCCUCCACUGGAUAUUGGUCUUCACACAAUCGCCAAGGGCCGCCGGCCGUGGCUGUUACCCGCAGCCGGUGAUGUUCCAGAUGGUGACAGGUUUCCCCUCCAGUUGUCUGCCAGUCUUGGCUCUCAGCCACCUGUGAGUCAGGUAGGGCAGGUGGGGUGAGGACAGCUUGGCAACAAAACGCCGCGGCACAGGAGCCCAGGUGAUGCUGUGGGAUUUGAGAGAGCAGGCUGAUCUCUGACGCGGAUCAGUAAGAAUUAAUUUGUUAUCUUAUCUAACACCUUACACAAACAAAAUAAAGAGUCAGUUUGUGUAAUGUG